rnacentral:antisense_RNA from 1 species
CUUGUGCACAUUAUUUAAAAAUCAGUUCAUGCUGGGCAUGGUGGCUCAUGCAUGUAAUCUCAGCACUUUGGGAGAGAAGGUUGCAGUGAACUGAGAUCGCGCCACUGCACACCAGCCUGGGCGACAGAGCGAGACUCUGUCUCAAAAAAUAAAAUAAAAUGAAAUAAAAUAAAAUAAAAUAAAAAAUAAAUAAAAUAAAUCAUCAGUUCAUGUGGCCACUUUCCCUCUCCCUUUCCUUCACAUAUUAUUUCCAAUUGUUCAGUAGAGAUACUGCCUAUUAUCACCUUAUAACCACUUUCCCUUCAAGAGACUAUCUCUGGCAUCUUACCUACCUUUUCUUCGAAUUUUAGGAACUCUGUACUCCAAUUCUCUAUAUUCCGGCUUUGUUCCAUAUUCCUCUUCCUGCUUAUUAGUCUGCCAGCUAUCAUUUACAAAACAACCACUUUGUAUCAGACACUAAGAACAUAAAGUAAUUCCAGUCUCUGCCCUCAAGAAGAUUACAUUACGGUGGC